GUAAUAAUGUGCGCUCAGAUCUAAGCUAUCUGGGGAUAGAUAGAAUGUGUAUGUUCUAUGUGAUAAAUGUAACAGUAUGUAAUUUUAUGUCUUUUAUUGUCCUUUGUCUGCCAUGUGGUUAAUGGAGUUUUGCCUCUGUCCUUGGAGAUAAUUGGAUUACUUCCCAAUUAUCUCCAGGACAGAGAGGAGGGAUUGUGAUGCAUUGUGGGAUUGUAAGCUUGUGAUUGGUUAAUGUCCAAUAUGUUUCCCAGUCUUCCAUCUGGUCCCCUAGGGGAGUGUCCACAAGGGGCUUCAUAAAAGCCGGGCAGGUAGCCUCAGUAAAUCAGUUCUGCUGGAUCCUCAAACGAAGUGUCGUCUCGUUCUUGGGGGGAAUUGGAUUGGAUGCUGUUACAGUGCGACUGCCAGGAGUGUAAGCUGUUCGUAUGGUUUUUCCUGUUCGGCUGUUUACAGCAUUCGUGUGUUCGGAAGUUGGUGAAUUUGUGUGUUUCCGGUUCGGGAGUUGGUGAAUUUGAGUGUUUCCUGUUCGGGAGUUUGAGUAUUCAUGUGUUUGCAAUUCGGGAGAUUGGUGCUUGCAGCAGCUGUUCAUGUAUUUAAAAGGGGAAUAUCGCCUAAACGUUUUUUAACCUCUUGUGUGCAAAACGGUCCGUUACAGUCACCC